AGUGAACGCUGGCGGUAGGCCUAACACAUGCGAGUCGAACGGCAGCACAGUAAGAGCUUGCUCUUACGGGUGGCGAGUGGCGGACGGGUGAGGAAUACAUCGGAAUCUACUUUUUCGUGGGGGAUAACGUAGGGAAACUUACGCUAAUACCGCAUACGACCUACGGGUGAAAGCAGGGGAUCUUCGGACCUUGCGCGAUUGAAUGAGCCGAUGUCGGACUGGCUAGUUGGCGGGGUAAAGGCCCACCAAGGCGACGAUCCGUAGCUGGUCUGAGAGGAUGAUCAGCCACACUGGAACUGAGACACGGUCCAGACUCCUACGGGAGGCAGCAGUGGGGAAUACUGGACAAUGGGCGCAAGCCUGAUCCAGCCAUACCGCGUGGGUGAAGAAGGCCUUCGGGUUGUAAAGCCCUUUUGUUGGGAAAGAAAAGCAGCAGGUUAAUACCCCGCUGUUCUGACGGUACCCAAAGAAUAAGCACCGGCUAACUUCGUG
rnacentral:rRNA from 1 species